UGGGGAGGAGAGGGUCUGAGAACCUGAAUUCAUCUGGCACUUACCAUGUAGGUGAACUGCUGGAGCUUCAGUUUCUUCUGGGAGCAUUUUCCUGAUGUGUAGACCUCAAAGGAGGGAGGGAGAUAACAGCCUAUAACAAGCUGUCAACUCAACACAGAAUAUCAAGAGAAGCAUCUAUCAUUCCACUGCUUACAGUGGAUUAACUGCCAAUGAAGUUUCCAAAAAUGAUCUGAUCCAGGGUUAGACCCAGGGCAAGUUCCUACAAGAUGAUGAAAAAUCACAGGGACCAGGUGAGCAGAGUCCCAUUCCAGAUGAAGAUAAUGUGGACACAUUCAUUUCUAGUGUGAGUUUAUAUUUUCAGGCAGAGUCUCUGAAAACCCAUUUGACUCUUUCACAUUUUUGACACCCUUAUUUCCUAUACAGGGCCUGUGAUGUAAGUUUAUAAUUUAACUCAACAGACAUGGGAAACACAUAUUAUUGGCCAAUGUGCUAGAUUAUAUAUACGAAAAGAUGAAAUAUAGUUCUUGAUC
rnacentral:lncRNA from 1 species